rnacentral:lncRNA from 1 species
GAACUGAUUUUAUUUGGGUAACUGACUGAAGGAGUCUCGUUUGUAACCAACAUGAAAUUCACAGUAUGUUGUUAUACUCACACUUAAAAAAAUAUAUCUCUAUGUAUAGGAAUUUGCAAAUUGAUAUAAACAUACAUUUCUUCGAAGUACAAAUCUCCCUUUCUCGCUGGAGGAAAAAGAUUAGAGCCAUCCAAGCAAGGCAACCCCUUCAAAGUAACUUGAACACAAAUGAUGUAACCAAUGAGUAUUUAUUAAAAGCCAGGGGUGCACCAGGCACAAUUCCUGUCCAGUAGGCUAACAAACACAAAUGAUGUAACCAAUUCACUUAUUAGCUUAUCUGAUUAAACAAAAUACAUUUCAUAGAAAUGAUUAUAAAAUGCAUUAUAGACAAACAGAAUAUCUUUUAUAUUAACAAAUCUUAGGGUGCCUAAAUAAUUAUUAAUAAAAACCAGCCAACCCAUAUGGUAAAUAGAAGUUAGCAAACCACCAGUUAUAUAUUUUAGUCAGCAAAAGAGAAAAGCAUGCUAUCAUCAUGCUGAUGGGUUUCACCAUUAAUUAUAGACAUCCUGUUUCAAAACAAACACAGUCCACCUACAAUCUUAAAAAUGCAGUAUCUUCCAUCCAGUAUCAAAUCACUAUCAUAUUUUUUGGUUUAAAGAUUAGUUUUGGUUUCAAAGUCUUAGUUUAAACUUAGUACUUUAGUCUCAAGUCUCACAGAUUCUUGACAUGGGGUGGGUGAGAAUCCUGUUAAGUAUUAAUGAGAGGAACAAAACAAAACAUUAAAUGGGAUAGUUUAAUCAGCUUUGCCUGAUUUUCUUGCCAAUACGUGGCUGAGAAGUUAAGAUACACACGUAACUUAAACCAGAACAUAAUAUCAGAAAGGGAAAAAAACCCAAAACUCAAAUGUUACUUGUCUGAAGCAAGUUUGUCCAUCAGAGAUUUUUUUUUUGCCCUUUUGGAAAGUCAUGGCAAAUUCUUUAAGGGACUGUAUCGAGUUGGUUGGCACAUGAUAUAUCCCUUCCAUUGAAGGCUGGUUAAGGCAGGGGUGGAUUCAUGAGAGAAAAGGCUGAUGGGCAGGGCUGAAAAGGCUGGAGUGGAAUAUAUUUGCUGACAGUCACAAUAAUCUGCUGAACCACAAUCAUCCAAGUGUCCGCUGGGCCCUUCUGGAGACCUCCAGAGACGGGUCUGUUUCCUUCAGGCAGCAGCACUGAAAACUUCCUCAGAGAGUUGAGGUCAACUUUUAUUGCACAGGAACCAGAAUUAUUCCCCAUUCCCCCCUUUCCUGAGCCUGAGACCUCCAAGGGCAAGAGAGGCUGCCCGCCUGCUAGCUCCUCUGGCCGGCAGGGAGCACUCCACCAGAACACCCCGGGAGCACCUACUUGAAGGGAAGUGCGA